rnacentral:rRNA from 1 species
UAGACAGCUAGGAGGUUGGCUUAGAAGCAGCCAUACCUUUAAAGAAGCGUAAUAGCUCACUAGUCGAGUCGUCCUGCGCGGAAGAUGUAACGGGGCUCAAACUGUGCACCGAAGCUGCGGAUAUCGAAAGAUAUGGUAGGGGAGCGUUCUGUAAGUCUGUGAAGGUGUCUUGUAAAGGAUGCUGGAGAUAUCAGAAGUGCGAAUGCUGACAUGAGUAGCGAUAAAGCGGGUGAAAGGCCCGCUCGCCGAAAAGCCCAAGGUUUCCUACGCAACGUUCAUCGGCGUAGGGUGAGUCGGCCCCUAAGGCGAGGCAGAAAUGCGUAGUCGAUGGGAAACAGGUCAAUAUUCCUGUACCGAUUCUAGAUGCGAUGUGGGGACGGAGAAGGUUAGGUCAGCCGGGUGUUGGAUGUCCCGGUUUUAAGCGUGUAGGAGUG